rnacentral:rRNA from 1 species
AUUGAACGCUGGCGGCAUGCCUUACACAUGCAAGUCGAACGGUAACGCGGGGCAACCUGGCGACGAGUGGCGAACGGGUGAGUAAUGCAUCGGAACGUGCCCAGUAGUGGGGGAUAGCCCGGCGAAAGCCGGAUUAAUACCGCAUACGACCUACAGGUGAAAGCGGGGGACCGUAAGGCCUCGCGCUAUUGGAGCGGCCGAUGUCAGAUUAGGUUGUUGGUGGGGUAAAAGCCUACCAAGCCGACGAGUUGUAGCUGGUCUGAGAGGACGACCGGCCACACUGGGACUGGGCCACGGCCCAGACUCCUACGGGAGGCAGCAGUGGGGAAUUUUGGACAAUGGGGGCAACCCUGAUCCAGCCAUGCCGCGUGCGGGAAGAAGGCCUUCGGGUUGUAAACCGCUUUUGUCAGGGAAGAAACGCUCUGGGCUAAUACCCCGGGGUAAUGACGGUACCUGAAGAAUAAGCACCGGCUAACUACGUGCCAGCCGCCGCCGUAAGAC